rnacentral:rRNA from 1 species
AACUGCGAAUGGCUCAUUAAAUCAGUUAUCGUUUAUUUGAUAGUACCUUACUACUUGGAUAACCGUGGUAAUUCUAGAGCUAAUACAUGCUGAAAACCCCGACUUCGGAAGGGGUGUAUUUAUUAGAUAAAAAACCAAUGCCCUUCGGGGCUCCUUGGUGAUUCAUAAUAACUUCUCAGAUCGCAUGGCCUUGCGCCGGCGACGGUUCAUUCAAAUUUCUGCCCUAUCAACUUUCGAUGGUAAGGUAUUGGCUUACCAUGGUUUCAACGGGUAACGGGGAAUUAGGGUUCGAUUCCGGAGAGGGAGCCUGAGAAACGGCUACCACAUCCAAGGAAGGCAGCAGGCGCGCAAAUUACCCAAUCCCGACACGGGGAGGUAGUGACAAUAAAUACUGAUACAGGGCUCUUUUGGGUCUUGUAAUUGGAAUGAGUACAAUUUAAACCUCUUAACGAGGAACAAUUGGAGGGCAAGUCUGGUGCCAGCAGCCGCGGUAAUUCCAGCUCCAAUAGCGUAUAUUAAAGUUGUUGCAGUUAAAAAGCUCGUAGUUGAACCUUUGGCCUGGCUGGCAGGUCCGCCUCACCGCGUGCACUUGUCCGGCCGGGCCUUCUCUUCUGGAGAACCGCAUGCCCUUCACUGGGUGUGUUGGGGACCAGGACUUUUACUUUGAAAAAAUUAGAGUGUUCAAAGCAGGCCUUUGCUCGAAUACGUUAGCAUGGAAUAAUAGAAUAGGACGUGCGGUCCUAUUUUGUUGGUUUCUAGGACCGCCGUAAUGAUUAAUAGGGACAGUCGGGGGCAUCAGUAUUCAAUUGUCAGAGGUGAAAUUCUUGGAUUUAUUGAAGACUAACUACUGCGAAAGCAUUUGCCAAGGAUGUUUUCAUUAAUCAGUGAACGAAAGUUAGGGGAUCGAAGACGAUCAGAUACCGUCGUAGUCUUAACCAUAAACUAUGCCGACUAGGGAUCGGGCGGUGUUAUUAUUUUGACUCGCUCGGCACCUUACGAGAAA